rnacentral:lncRNA from 10 species
AGGUUUGGACACAGACACUCAGAAGAGCACCAUGAAAAAGCACAGAGGCACAGACACAUAGAGAAGACAGCCAUGUGAUGACGAAGGCAGAGAUUGGGGUGAUGCUUCUAGAAGACAAAGAAUGUCAAGGAUUGCUGGGCAACCACCAGAGGCCAGAAAGAGCAACAGAAAAUGGGCUAAGACAUGGAGCAAGGGGCAGAACGACUCUUGAAGAUGCUGAGCAACUUCUGAAAGUUUCAACUACAGUGCUGUUCUGUGAAGGGGAAUGGGUGCUGGAGAGCUAAGCAGGAAGCAGGAGGCAGGAGGGACUGUCUGCAGCAAUCAGCAGUGAGGACAACAUGGAAUGAUCCCUAAGGUGGAGCAGGAAGCUGUCAAGAGAGGGGAAAAGGUGAAGGAUUCCUGGAGGCUGCUCAGCAAUCCAUCUAAGACAAAAUGCAAAAGAACCUCUUAAAGAUCUUUCCCUACACUGGUGGCCUGGGGAACAAAUCACAUUUGGAGAAUUGAAGAAAUCUUAAAAUGCAAGCAUAUUAAGCCCUUUUCCCCCAAAUCACUUAAGUCUCACAAGUCUACCUCACUUAGAGC